GUGAGCACUCUAGACGAACUGCCGUUGACAAAACGGAGGAAGGUGGGAUGACGUCAAAUCAUCAUGCCCCUUAUGUUCUGGGCUACACACGUGCUACAAUGGCCGGUACAGACGGAGGCGAAAGCCGCGAGGCGGAGCAAAUCCGAAAAAGCCGGUCUCAGUUCGGAUUGCAGGCUGCAAUUCGCCUGCAUGAAGUCGGAAUCGCUAGUAAUCGCAGGUCAGCAUACUGCGGUGAAUACGUUCCCGGGCCCU
rnacentral:rRNA from 1 species